rnacentral:rRNA from 1 species
AUUGAACGCUAGCGGGAUGCUUUACACAUGCAAGUCGAACGAGUGGCGGACGGGUGAGUAAUAUAUCGGAACGUGCCCAGUAGCGGGGGAUAACUCCUCGAACGAGUGGCUAAUCCCGCAUACUCUUUGCGCGCCCGCUAUCCUAUUAGCUCGUUGGUGGGGUAAAGGCUCACCAAGGCAACGAUCCGUAGCUGGGUUGAGAGGACGACCAGCCCCACUGGGACUGAGACACGGCCCAGACUCCUACGGGAGGCAGCAGUGGGGAAUUUUGGACAAGGGGGGAAACCCUGAUCCAGCCAUCCCGCGUGUAUGAGAAGGCCUUCGGGUUGUAAAGUACUUUUGGCAGAGAAGCGGGAGGUGAAGAAUAAGCACCGGCUAACUACGUGCCAGCAGCCGCGGUAAUAC